rnacentral:tRNA from 1 species
GGCGCGGUAGCCAAGUGGUAAGGCAGGAGUCUGCAAAACUCCCAUUCGCCGGUUCGAUUCCGGCCCGCGCCU